GGGGGAGGUCGGUGAGGCUGGCUUUGGGAUUUUCCAAGUGGUUAUUCCCAAGGCCUGAGCGGCUGGGAAAGUCACGGUGCUUUUUUGGAAACACGUGCCGGGUGCCCUUAAGGAGUGGCAGCAUGGAUGGGUGCUGAUCUUUUCCUGGAAUCUCGGUCCCCCCUUUGGAGCAGCGGCAGGGCUGAAAUUUGGCUUUAUAAGGAUUUCUGCGGGAUCUCCUUGCUGCGCUCCGGCUCCCAGCACAGCUUCCAGUAGAGUUGGGCCAUCCUGGUGGAAAAGGAGCUUUUCCUGAGCGAGCUCCGAGCUUUUGCCCGAGCCGAGGGAGCUGCAGGAUAGAGCCAGGAGGAGCUGCAGGAGACCUUUGAGUUCCCGCUCUUUGAGGAGGAGGAGGAGGUAACCUGGAAUGGGAUUUUCCAUGGAAAUCUGGGAUCCAAUCCCUGCUUUUUGUCCCCUCACACCCGGGAGGUUCGGUGGGGC
rnacentral:lncRNA from 1 species